AUGGAUUUAACAAGUGUGAAAGUGUGCCACCAUACUUCUCGAGACAUUUGGGAUGUAAAAGUACUACUACAUUUCAUUCUCUGGAGGUGAACUUAUGACGAAACAAAUAAGUAGGAAACUGCAACUCUUACUACAAUGUCUAGAAUACGGACAAUCUUAAAACAGGCCAACAUUGAACAGACUAUUGCCUCAACCUAUGAGACAGUAGAAGACUUCGUUACAUGAACCUCAACCAAUU
rnacentral:lncRNA from 1 species